UUUGAACCUGGCUCAGGAUGAACGCUGGCGGCGUGCUUAACACAUGCAAGUCGAACGAUGAAGCCGAAGCUUGCUUUGGUGGAUUAGUGGCGAACGGGUGAGUAACACGUGAGUAACCUGCCCCUGACUCUGGGAUAAGCCUGGGAAACUGGGUCUAAUACCGGGAUAUGACCAUGGAACGCAUGUUCUGUGGUGGAAAGAUUUAUCGGUUGGGGAUGGACUCGCGGCCUAUCAGCUUGUUGGUGAGGUAAUGGCUCACCAAGGCGACGACGGGUAGCCGGCCUGAGAGGGUGACCGGCCACACUGGGACUGAGACACGGCCCAGACUCCUACGGGAGGCAGCAGUGGGGAAUAUUGCACAAUGGGCGAAAGCCUGAUGCAGCGACGCCGCGUGAGGGAUGACGGCCUUCGGGUUGUAAACCUCUUUCAGUAGGGAAGAAGCGAGAGUGACGGUACCUGCAGAAGAAGCGCCGGCUAACUACGUGCCAGCAGCCGCGGUAAUACGUAGGGCGCAAGCGUUAUCCGGAUUUAUUGGGCGUAAAGAGCUCGUAGGCGGUUUGUCGCGUCUGCCGUGAAAGUCCGAGGCUCAACCUCGGAUCUGCGGUGGGUACGGGCAGACUAGAGUGAUGUAGGGGAGACUGGAAUUCCUGGUGUAGCGGUGAAAUGCGCAGAUAUCAGGAGGAACACCGAUGGCGAAGGCAGGUCUCUGGGCAUUUACUGACGCUGAGGAGCGAAAGCAUGGGGAGCGAACAGGAUUAGAUACCCUGGUAGUCCAUGCCGUAAACGUUGGGCACUAGGUGUGGGGGACAUUCCACGUUUUCCGCGCCGUAGCUAACGCAUAAG
rnacentral:rRNA from 1 species